GACGAACGCUGGCGGCGUGCUUAACACAUGCAAGUCGAACGGUGAAGGGGUCUGCUUUUGUGGGCCCUGGAUGAGUGGCGAACGGGUGAGUAACACGUGAGUAACCUGCCCCCUUCUUCUGGAUAACCGCAUGAAAGUGUGGCUAAUACGGGAUAUUCUGGGUCUGUCGCAUGAUGGGUCUGGGAAAGAUUGCGCCUUUGGGUGUUUUUGGUGGGGGAUGGGCUCGCGGCCUAUCAGCUUGUUGGUGGGGUGAUGGCCUACCAAGGCGGUGACGGGUAGCCGGGCUGAGAGGGUGGACGGUCACACUGGGACUGAGACACGGCCCAGAAUCGUACGGGAGGCAGCAGUGGCGAAUAUUGCACAAUGGGCGCAAGCCUGAUGCAGCGACGCCGCGUGAGGGAUGGAGGCCUUCGGGUUGUAAACCUCUUUCGCCAGUGAAGCAGGCCUGCUCCUUGUGGGUGGGUUGACGGUAGCUGGAUAAGAAGCGCCGGCUAACUACGUG
rnacentral:rRNA from 1 species